rnacentral:rRNA from 1 species
AGUGAACGCUGGCGGCAGGCCUAACACAUGCAAGUCGAACGGCAGCACAGUAAGAGUUUGCUCUUACGGGUGGCGAGUGGCGGACGGGUGAGGUAUAUAUCGGAAUCUACUUUUUCGUGGGGGAUCACGUAGGGAAACUUACGCCAAUAUCGCAUACCAUCUACGGGUGAAAGCAUGGGAUCUUCGGACCUUGCGCGAUUGAAUGAGCCGAUGACGGAUUAGCUAGUUGGGGGGGUAAAGGCCCACCAAGGCGACGAUCCGUAGCUGGUCUGAGAGGAUGAUCCGCCACACUGGAACGUAGACACCGUCCAGACUCCUACGGGAGGGAGCAGUGGGGAAUGUUGGGCAAUGGGGGCAAGCCUGAUCCAGCGAGCCCGCGUGGGUGAAGAAGGCCUUCGGGUUGUAAAGCCCUUUUGUUGGGAAAGAAAAGCAGUAGGCUAAUACCCCGCUGUUCUGACGGUAACCAAAGAAUAAGCACCGGCUAACUUCGUG